rnacentral:lncRNA from 1 species
AAUAGCCGUGCCAGAAUUCUCUGCCAGCUGCUGUGCACUGCUGUCAGUGCAAAGAUGGGAUGGACUUUUUUUUCAGAUUUUCUGCUGUUGUGGGAGUAUGGCAAGAGUUUGAGGGGGCGGAGAAAGAGAUUGGGAAUGUGAAAAGGGAAGAUAGCACCUGCGCUAAGCACAUUCCUAGGAUUGGGCCGCGUCUCGGGGAUGCAGAGUGGGCUCUUCGGCGCGCCCUGCAGCCAUGGGAGUGGACGCCUGCCCAGGCCGAAGGGCAAGGACUUGCGGGGUGGGGUCUCUGUGCAUGCGCGGAGCUGAAAGGGAGCGUUUUGCAGAUCUCCACGCGUGCGCAACUCUCGGGACGUGGACGCGGUGAACAGUUACGCACAAUCGUCUUUCUGACACAAACACACCCUGCCAGGUGGAAGCCAGGAUGGAGGGCAGGCCUCGCCUUCUGUCCCGGAUCCGCCAAUCCUCCGAUCCCUGGAUCCUCUGAUGAUGGCAUCAACUGUCUGGGCUACAGGUUGCUCUCCAAAGAGUGGCUGCCCCUCUACACCAACCUCACUGUGGACAUAACUUCCAAGCCUCAGGAGACCCAGUGCAAAGCUGAGGGGUAUCUUAUCUGGAAGCCAGAAAGAGCCCCUGAGGCCAAGGUCACAGGGAAGCCCUCCCACUCACCCCACCUGGUUUCUUUUAAAAGUAGAGUUUAUUUUAUCUCCUUUCUGCCAUCCCUAAUUCCUUCCUUCCAUCUGUCCAUCCAUCUUCUUUCCCCUCCCUCCCUUCCUCCCUUCUCCUUCUCCUCCUCCCCACACCUGCUUCUUUUCUCUUUCUUUCAACUAUGUCCAGAAGGUCCUUCUUAACAAACACUAAUUAGUACAGGGAAAGGUCUCUUUAAGUGAAUGCAUUUAAAAUAGGGAGUCCACCUUUGUGGUAAAUAGUGUGCACGAGGUGAGUCUGGAUCAGGACUUCACACUUGAUAACGGAAUUCAAUUUCUCAAAAUACCUUUAUUUCAGAUUUAAUGAAAUUCCAUGUUUGUUGAAUCAUUAAGAACGAGCAUUUGUGUUGUACUCAUGGUGGACAGCCACCAUUCUAAUGCUUGACUUUACAUAAUUAACGCAUGUAAUCUGCAAAGGAGCCACAAGGCGAGAUCUAUUAUUAUUCCCAUUGUGCUGCUGGAGAAAUUAAGGCAGAGAGGUUAAGUUGCUUGCCACCAAACUAGCGAGGGGCAGAGCUGGGAUGUGUAGCAUCCAGGUAGGUUGGCUCCAGAGCCCAUGAGCCUAACUACUACUGUGCCCAACCUUUGUGCCAAUCGCCACAACAGUCAAAGGAUGGAUCAAGUACUGGUUUUGGGGGUGGGGGCAGGGGACUCUGGGCAGUAUGUUUUCUGAUCACAUCACAUGACAGUAGGACAUUCUUCAUUUCACCAUGGCUUUCACUGCCCAACAAUAAAAAGGUCAUGGGCACUUUGGGAGGCCGAGGGGGGGGGAUCACGAGGUCAGGAGAUCGAGACCAUCCUGGCCAACACGGUGAAACCCCGUCUCUACUAAAAAUACAAAAAAUUAGCCAGGCAUGGUGGUGGGCGCCUGUAGUCCCAGCUACUCGGGAGGCUGAGGCAGGAGAAUGGCGUGAACCCGGGAGGCGGAGCUUGCAGUGAGCUGAGAUCGUGCCACUGCACUCCAGAGCCUGGGCGACAGAGCGAGACUCCAUCUCAC